rnacentral:rRNA from 1 species
GAGUUUGAUUCUGGCUCAGGAUGAACGCUGGCGGCAUGCCUAACACAUGCAAGUUGAACGAGAAAUUUUGGAGGGAGUCUUCGGACGAACGAAGGAAUGGAAAGUAGCGAACGGGUGAGUAACGCGUGGGCAACCAACCUUACACAGGGGGAUAACACAGAGAAAUCUGUGCUAAUACCGCAUAAGCGCACAGUAUCACAUGAUACGGUGUGAAAAACUCCGGUGGUGUAAGACGGGCCCGCGUCUGAUUAGCUAGUUGGUGGGGUAAGAGCCUACCAAGGCGACGAUCAGUAGCCGACCUGAGAGGGUGAUCGGCCACAUUGGGACUGAGACACGGCCCAAACUCCUACGGGAGGCAGCAGUGGGGGAUAUUGCACAAUGGAGGGAACUCUGAUGCAGCAAUGCCGCGUGAAGGAAGACGGUUUUCGGAUUGUAAACUUCUAUCAGCAGGGAAGAAAAUGACGUACCUGACUAAGAGCCCC